CCAUCUGCUCCUCAGGGAGCCAGACACACGCCCAGGCCUCCCUGUGUCAGGAGAGGUGGGCUUGUGCCUCAUGUCACAGUCCCCACCUACAGCUGGCCAGGUCUGUGAGAAAACAGCAGAUUUGAAUGAGCCUGCCUGAUUCCAUCGCUGGCUUCCCAGCUUCUCCUUCUGAUGGGCCCUGCCCAAGGAAGCCACACUAUGGACACCAGGCCUGGACAGGACCUACAGGAGUCACGGGCCCGAUAACUGAAGUUCCCCCCUUGAAUGCCUACCACUGGCCAGUCGUCUAAUUUGAACAAGGAGCCUCCAGAGGAGAGGAAAGACGGCUGAACUGCUCUCGGCAAGAGGUGGCGGCUAACCACCCUCCCCUGGAAACUGGACCAGUCUUAGAGAAUUGCAGAGGCACACCGUGAGCUUCUGGAACUUCCUCGCAGCUGCUGCCUCCCUCCUGGAAUGUUUGCUGUGCCUGAGAAGCCCUGUCACCCUGAGACUGCCAUGCUGUGAGGAAGCUCCAGAUAAUGGUGUGGGAGGGACCGUGUCCAUCUACCCCCCCGAGGCUCUAGUUCCUUGCCCUAGAGGCCACCGCAGCUGAGGACCCACACGCCAGGGAACGGAGACCAGCCCUCCAUGCUAUGCCUUGGCCUAGCUCCUGAUGCCAAGAACAGAGAUAGAAAAGUAUGAGAAAAGUGAUCACUUCAAGUCACAAUAUUUGGGGAUGGUUCGUUAUGCAGCAAUAGAUAAAUGGAACAUCCUCCCUGGCCUCUGGAACCCUUCAAUGGCUCCCACAUGCCCUCAUGAUAAACUUCCAGCUUUGAAUUUCAAGGCCAUCUGAACCAGCAAAACUAGACUCCCUUCAGAAAUUGGUCACUGUCACUCUGAUCAUGGGCCAGCCUUCCUGGGUCCCUCUCUAUCUCUGAUGCCUUGUUGCCUCCGUCAAGAAGCCAUCCUGAUCCCCUACCCUCCAGACUGGCACUCCCCACCGGGGACCACCUAUACACUCUCCCUCUAGCUCCUGGGACACCCUGGCAGCAUAGAAGCGUCUUCUCUCCAUAGACUCUGGUGGCCAUUCUGAGAUGGGGAAGGAGGGCCAGGCAGGCCCUCCAGGACUGGUAGCCAGGGACACUGCUUCUGCCAGAUCUGCCAUCAUGCGAUGGAGCUCCUGCAGGUCCCCUCAGGGUGUCUGACAGGCCACCCUUGGCCACUCUAAAUCAUCCAAUACCUUUAAUGGGAAUUAGCCUCAUUUCUUUAAAAUCAAAUGGAUACAUUCAGCCUGUGCAAAUCGGUGCUAGCCUCCCCUAGUUCCAAGAUCAGAGCUCUGAGCAAGGGCCCAGUUCUAGGGGGCUGUCUCAAGGAAGCAG